GCGCUUCGUUCUUUCGGGGACUGUGACGCUGGAAAGUUGAGGUUCUGGCCGGGCCGAGGCGUCGGAUCUCCCUGUCCUCCCCUUCGACCUCUCCCCACAGCUCAAUAAAAUAAUUUGAUGUCAGCGCCGGCGUUGGGUGUUCUUGUCGAGACGCGCUGCCUUUGAGCCCCCGCUGCGCCUGCGCGUGGCGCCGGGGGUCAGGCUGCAGCGCCAGAGUACUGCGCUUGCGCAUAACUGGGGCCGCCUGGUUUCCCCGCCGGCGGCCCUUUUAACCGCGAGCUACAGAGCGG